AUAGCCCAGUGCGCAGGUAGGGAAUUUCAUGUGCACUGUCCGGCUAUCCCUAAGACCGUAACCCUAACAUACCUAAUCAACAAUAGGAGACGGACAGACUUUGGCUUUGGGUGUGCGGCGGGCGGCGGCACCGUGGCAGUUGGCACUGCGGUCUACAGACUGCAUCAGCCGGCAGGACUCUGCGUCUCCUCCCGUCCUCCGGUUCUCCCUGCGACGGACAAAUCUGCUGCUCGAUUUCUCUGGUUGUCCCUGUGGCGGACGGCACAUCGGCAAGCCAGGCAGCCAGCUCGUCAGCUCUAAAUCAGAUUCAGUAAUUAUUCAUUCUAUUUUGACUGAUCUAAAUCCUUCGGAAACCUGCAUGGAUUUUGAGGAACAAGAUGCUGAUAGUGAUCCCGAUGUCAUGAAUGAUUAUGGUGAGCUUUAACUGCGAGUCUACCACUAGUUAUGGUGCUUAAUCCUUGGCAAUAUGUUUGUAAACUUUAGAUACAUUGUAUAGAGCAGCAGCAGCUCUGUACCAUGAACCUUGAUAUAUCUUGUGUGCUGUGUGUGAUGAACCAUGAGCUUUUGUAUCAAACUAUUGUAUGGAGCAGCAACAGUUCUGCACCAUGAACCUUGAUAUAUCUUGUGUGCUGGGUGUGAUGAACCAUGAACUUUUGUAUCAAACUAUUGUAUGGAGCAGCAGCAGCUCUGCACUUGUGUGCCUUAGUGCCUA